GUAGGUGGCAAGCGUUGUCCGGAAUUAUUGGGCGUAAAGCGCGCGCAGGCGGUCCUUUAAGUCUGAUGUGAAAGCCCACGGCUCAACCGUGGAGGGUCAUUGGAAACCGGGGGACUUGAGUACAGAAGAGGAAAGCGGAAUUCCAAGUGUAGCGGUGAAAUGCGUAGAGAUUUGGAGGAACACCAGUGGCGAAGGCGGCUUUCUGGUCUGUAACUGACGCUGAGGCGCGAAAGCGUGGGGAGCAAACAGGAUUAGAUACCCUGGUAGUCCACGCCGUAAACGAUGAGUGCUAAGUGUUAGGGGGUUUCCCGCCCCCCUUAGUGCUGCAGCUAACGCAUUAAGCACUCCGCCUGGGGGAGUACGGCCGCAAGGCUG
rnacentral:rRNA from 1 species